rnacentral:rRNA from 1 species
UUAGAGUUUGAUCCUGGCUCAGAAUGAACGUUGGCGGCGUGGAUUAGGCAUGCAAGUCGCGCGACAAGCAAUCUUCGGAUUGUGGAGGAGCGGCGAAAGGGAGAGUAACGCGUGGAUACCUACCUUGGGGACCGGGAUAAGGGCCGAAAGCCCGGUAAUACCGGAUGACCUCUACGGAGCAAAGCUCAGGCGCCCUGAGACGGGUCCGCGUCCUAUUAGCUUGUUGGUGGGGUAAUGGCCUACCAAGGCGGCGAUGGGUACCGGGUGUGAGAGCAUGGCCCGGCUCACUGGGACUGAGACACUGCCCAGACACCUACGGGUGGCUGCAGUCGAGAAUCUUUGUCAAUGGCCGAAAGGCUGAACAAGCGACGCCGCGUGCGGGACGAAGGCCCUCGGGUUGUAAACCGCUGUUGGAGGGGAGGAAAUUUUGACCGAUCCUCUGAGGAAGGGCAGGCUAAGUUCGUGCCAGCAGCCGCGGUAAGACGAACUGCCCAAACGUUAUUCGGUAUCACUGGGCUUAAAGGGUGCGUAGGCGGCGCGGUAAGUGAGAUGUGAAAUCCCACGGCUCAACCGUGGAACUGCGUUUCAUACUGCCGUGCUUGAGGGAGACAGAGGUGAGCGGAACAGAUGGUGGAGCGGUGAAAUGUGUUGAUAUCAUCUGGAACACCCGUGGCGAAAGCGGCUCACUGGGUCUCUUCUGACGCUGAGGCACGAAAGCUAGGGUAGCGAACGGGAUUAGAUACCCCGGUAGUCCUAGCCGUAAACGCUGAGCACUGGGUCGGAGAUCCCCCCACAGGUUUCCGGCCGUAGCGAAAGUGUUAAGUGCUCCGCCUGGGG